GGCGAACGCUGGCGGCAGGCUUAACACAUGCAAGUCGAACGGGCUUCUUCGGAAGUCAGUGGCAGACGGGUGAGUAACACGUGGGAACGUGCCCUUCGGUUCGGAAUAACUCAGGGAAACUUGAGCUAAUACCGGAUACGCCCUUUUGGGGAAAGGUUUACUGCCGAAGGAUCGGCCCGCGUCUGAUUAGCUUGUUGGUGGGGUAACGGCCUACCAAGGCGACGAUCAGUAGCUGGUCUGAGAGGAUGAUCAGCCACACUGGGACUGAGACACGGCCCAGACUCCUACGGGAGGCAGCAGUGGGGAAUAUUGGACAAUGGGCGCAAGCCUGAUCCAGCCAUGCCGCGUGAGUGAUGAAGGCCUUAGGGUUGUAAAGCUCUUUUGUCCGGGACGAUAAUGACGGUACCGGAAGAAUAAGCCCCGGCUAACUUCGUG
rnacentral:rRNA from 1 species